CCCCCCACCCCCAUAGGAGACCCACCACCCCAUAGGAUAGGCACCCCAACCCCGAUAGGGAAACCGCCCUCCUCCCUCUAUAAGCUCCUGCUCCUCCGCUGCCUCCAUCCAGCUCCAUCAUGUCCCCCCCCCCUCGUGGUCUCCAUCACCUUCAUCACCUCCAUCAUCAUCAUCGUCAUCGUCGCCGUCGUUUCUUGGUCCCGUUGUUGCUCGGGAUCCUGCUCGGAGCCGCCGCCGCUUCCGCCGCCGCCGCCUCCGUGUUGCUGCUGGGCGGCCGGGAUGGGAACGGGAUAAAGGUGGGGGGGGGGGAUGGAUGGGGUUGGGGUGGUCAGCCCUAUAGAUGGGCAUCAGUGAGGUCUGUGGGUGGAGAUGUGGGGCCUGAGACCCCAAAGUGGGGACAUAUGGGGCCGUCGUUGACUCCAGUGAUUGGGGACAUUUGGAUCCCGAAAGAUUUGGGGUCGCUGUUGACUCUUAUGGCUGGAGAUCCCAAGACUGGAGAUGUGGGGACAUCAUUGACCUCCAUGAAUGGAUUUAUGGGUCCUGAGACCCCCAAGUGGGGACAUAUGGGGCCGUCAUUGACCCCAAUGGUUAUAUGGAUCCCGAUACUAAGAGAUUUGGGGUCGCUGUUGACUCUUAUGGCUGGAGAUCCCAAGACUGGAGAUGUGGGGACAUCGAUGACCUCCAUGAGUGGAUCUAUGGGUCCUGAUACCCCCAAGUGGGGACAUAUGGGGCCAUUGUCCCCCUCUAACCCCUCCCCCCCCAGCUGGUCUGGGUGGGGGUCCCCCUCCCCCCCCCCUUAAGUUAUUACCUGGUGCUCAGAUCUACCUUAUUUAUUCAUUAAUAAAUCUAUUUAUGGUUCUUUGGGCUCUAAAAUG
ensembl:lncRNA